rnacentral:misc_RNA from 1 species
GUCGUCUUGUACAUUGAAGUCGCUCAAGCAUGAACUUCGUGAUGUAGACUAGUAUCUUCAUUCUUCAAGUGACUUGGGCAUGCAUCGGCACGAUACAGACAAUUUAUGUGUUUUAGAAUAAAGUAAAAGUAGAAAGACACUUCAUAAUUAGAAGUCAAGGACAAGGAUCUGAAGUGGCAUUACUGAUAUAUGAGCGGUGAGAGCAAAAGGAGUGCAUUU